GAGGCGAAGAAAAAUGGCGGCUGUGUGCGACCCGGAGCGGGACACCGGCCAUUCCGCUCGAGCUUUCUCCUGUUAAUCGAGUCCGCUGCUUUUGUCGGACUUUAUGAAACAAGUUUAUGGGACAGUGGACUCGGAGUUUAUUGAAAACUGCGUGCUUUUGUGAGCUUUGUUUUCUGGAUGACUCGUGGCGCGAAAGAAGGUUGUAAAUAAAGAGAAAAACAAUAAUAAAAUAGUGUAAAAUAUCCUAGUGCAAAAAAAUAAUAAUAAAUGAGGGUAAGAAGAGGCAGGCCGGCUGGCCGGGGGGUAGUGCCGGAGGAGGCAGCUCCAUCUCCAGUGGCGGUGCGAGGCGGCCGGGGCAGAGGCAGGGGCAGAGGUAGGGGAUUGUGGACGCUGAACUGUGAUGUGGAUGAAAACUACACACCAGCGAAAAGGGGGCGACGGAGAGGAAGCUCGUUACCGAGGGGCAGAGGAGGCAGAGGCAGCAGGGGUAAGAGAGGAGGAGGAGGUGGUGGUGGUGGUGGCAGAGGAGGAAGGCGAAGAACACUGAACAAACUAAUCUACGGCGACCGCGAGAGCAGCAUCGAGGAGGAAGAGGACUCGGUGAGUUUACAGUCCGAGGAGCACGAGAAGAGCCUGCGCCGCUUGGAGGAUGAUGCGGAUUAUGAAGAAGAUGAAAGUGAGGAAGAGCCUUUAGGUGAUGAUGAUGAUGGCUCCGAUUAUGUGGAGGAACUUCCGGACGAGGACGACGCGAGUUACGGCAGCCUGCGGAGCCGGAGCAGCACCUGCGGGGACACACCGGGCCGCAAGAGAACUCGCGUGCAUCGUCCACGUCCCCCUGUCUUCGUGGAGGAGAAUGUCCCACCUCUGGAGCUCCCCAAGUCAUCUGACGAUGUCCUGGUCACAGCGACGCACCUCCUUACUGCAUCCUCCAUCUAUGAGGUACUGCGUAACUUCAGCACGGUGCUGCGUCUCUCUCCGUUCCGCUUCGAGGACUUCUGUGCGGCAUUGUCAGGACAGGAACAGUGCACGCUGCUAGCUGAGACGCACAUAGCGCUGAUGAAGGCCAUCCUGCGCGAGGAGGACACUUCUAACACGAGUUUCGGCCCCGCAGAUCUAAAGGACAGCGUAAAUUCAACACUCUACUUCAUGGAUGGGAUGACGUGGCCCGAGGUGGUGCGGGCGUACUGCGAGAGUGACCCCGAGUACCAGCACACUCUGAGCGUCCUUUACCAAGACGACUUCCCGUACGAGCCUCUUGAGAGCAAGCUGAAAGUCUUGCAGUUCCUGGUGGAUCAGUUCUUGGCGACAAAUGUGGCGCGGGAGGAGCUGAUGUCAGAGGGCGUGGUCACAUACGAUGAUCACUGCCGCAUGUGUCAUCACCUUGGCGACCUGCUAUGCUGCGAGACCUGCUCGGCUGUCUAUCACCUGGAGUGCGUGAAACCGCCGUUGCUCCAGGUACCUGAGGAAGAGUGGCAGUGUGAGGUGUGUGUUGCUCACCAGGUGCCGGGUGUGGGUGACAGCAUCCCAGUCAGCCAGAAGACCCGUCCCUAUAUCAGACACGAGCCAAUCGGAUUUGACCGUCACAGGAGGAAAUACUGGUUCUUGAACCGAAGAAUCAUAGUCGAGGAGGACGGCGAGCAUGAGAACAAGACCAUCUGGUAUUACAGUACCAAGGUGCAGCUGGCAGGGCUGUUAGAAGUGCUGGAUAAGUCGCACUGGGAGAAACAGCUGUGUGCCACACUGGAGGAGCUACGAGACGAGAUCCACUCACACAUGGACACAACAGAGGAGCUCACUAACAAAGCCAGAGGCAACAACAAGUCUUACCUGUCUGUAGUUAAUGAGGAGAUCCUGGAGCGUGUGAGAGCCAAGCAGGAGCAGGAAAUGGAGCAGGUGAAGAAGAAAGCUGCAGAGGAAGUGCAGAAAUCCAAAAGGGAGGAAUCGCAGGAGGAUCCGUUCUCCGUGGAUUCCGAGGUCUCUGAAGACACAUCACUAAAGGCCCAACAAGACACUGAGGAGGAAAACUGUGCAGCUGAGGCGUCCUGUGAUUCAGUGUCCACGGGGGCUUCUCCGUCCCCUGUCCCCCAGCUCCCCGUGUCUUCUGAUGGGCCAGUCGAGCCCAGUGAGUCCCAGAAAGGAAGCGGUCCGGAGGAGCCGCCCGAGACGGCAGAUGCAUCCUCAAAUUCAGGUGCCAACGUUGAGGAAGCGCCCCUGUCCCCACAAACCACUGAUGAGAAUAGUAGGGGCAGAGGAGAAGACAACCUGGAUGCUGCAGAGAAAGCUUGCAUCUUCAUUAAGGAUGAGAAGAGUGAAGGGAAGGAGAAAGGCAACAUGGAGACGCCCAUAGGAAUGCGCGCAGCCACACGCAUGGUGACACGCCUGCGCAACCCAGACAGCAAACUGAGUCAGCAGAAAAGCCAGCAGGUGGCAGCAUCGCUCCAAGAGUCUUAUCGACUGUUCAAGGAUGGAAGAGAUGUACUAAUGGCAACCCAGCAAGCAGAAGUGGCCCGUCUCAGCAUGCGCAACACCAAAGACCCGGUCAUGAAGGGGUCCUCGAGCACCUAUUUCCGCCUGGGUCAGGAAGGCAAGUAUCGUGUCUACCAGAACCAGUAUAGCACCAAUACUCUGGCUCUCAACAAGCACCAGCACCGCGAGGAUCACGACAAACGCAGACAUCUCUCGCACAAGUUCUGCCUGACGCCGGCUGGAGACUUCAAGUGGAACGGCUCGAUUUAUGGCUCUAGGGUGCUCACCACCUGCACACUCAGGCUCACUAUUAUCCAGCUGGAGAACAACAUCCCAGCACCAUUUCUGCACCCCAACUGGGAUUCCCAUAGGGCAAACUGGAGCAAGGCCGUGCAGAUAUGCAGCAAGGCGCAGGAGUUCGCUUUGGCCUUAGCUAUCCUUGAGUGUGCCAUCAAACCAGUGGCCAUGCUGCCUAUUUGGAAGGACUCACUGGGACAUACACGGCUGCACCGUGUGACAUCCCUCGAGCGGGAGGAGAAGGAGAAGGUGAGGAAGAGGGAAAAGAAGCAGGAGGAAGAGGAGACCAUGCAGCAGGCCACUUGGGUCAAAUACACCUUCCGUGUUAAACAUCAGGUUUGGAAACAGAAAGGAGAGGAGUACAGGGUGACUGGUUACGGAGGCUGGUGCUGGAUCAGUAAGACUCGCGUCCAUCGAUUUGUUCCACGACUUCCCGGGAACACUAACGCAAACUACCGGGAACAGAUAGAAGCUGGCAGGAGUGUCAAAAUUCCUGCAGACACUAACGAUGCAAAGAGUCCUGAAAUGCAUAAGAGCAACAGGGCAGAAGAAGAGGAGAAUAAAAGAAAGAUUGAUGAUAUGAAAGAAGAAGGGAUGGAUGUUGAAGCGGAAGGACCUGGUACUUUCUUCAGUGAUGUGGUCAACGUGAGUGAGGGCUUCUUGCUUCGCACAGCUUAUAAGAAAAAGGUCAAUUCCGGCAAGCUUGAUGAGCUCCUUGAGCACCGGGUCAAGCAACAGGCCAUCGAGGAACGACAGAAGAAGUCAGCUAUUAGUGCCAAUCCUAAGGUUGUGAUCCAGAGGCUCAAGUUCAAAAUGGAGCCACAUGGAGCAGUAGCAUGCAUACAGCCUGAGGUUAAAUCAGAGGUCAAGAAGGAAAUUACAGUCACGCUGGAUUCAGCCAAGGAUUCGGUCUCCGAUUCAUCAUUGGAGAGCUCUGGGAUAAAUGGGUCAACCGAUGAGUGCAUUGGUGAAGGUGGGCCCACAUCCGGUCUGUACCAGUCCAGUGCUAAAAAGACGAUGCCACUUAUCUCGGGGGACAUUCCUAAGCAAUGUGUUAAUAAUCAUAACACAAGCCAGCGUGAAAAUGCUACUGUUCUCCUGUCCACCGGUGGCAGCAGUGAGCAAAGAUUAGUUAGCACAGUGAACCAGCAAAUAAGCCCAAGUACGCCGGCACAGGUGAAUAAUGUGGCGUUGUUAGGAGAGAAUAGGGAUGGCUCCAAAGGACAUAGUCCUGUUGUCUUGCAAAUAAAUGGACAGCAUGUUAAGGAUCUAGGUACCAAGGACACUCUGACCAAUAGUGUGGUGAACAAGGUGAACGACAAGAUGAUGGAGGAUGAUAAGAAGGUUCUGUCGCUCAAGGAUCCUAUGAAGCCUUCAGUGAAUGGAAUCAGCAGCCCCAACAUAGCUGGGGGAAACCCAGAAUACCUUCCCCCACAGAAGGUGCCCCGUCUCGGUGUCACCGUGGAGGAUCUGGCACUGUCUUCUCCAACCAUUCCCAAAUCAGAGCCUGCACUGGAUAGCAAAGAACACAACAGCAUGGAAGCCGGGUUAGACGGGGAUGACAAAGUGUCCCAGAGGACAAUCGUUCCCUCCCCAGUGCUGUCAGUGGAAGAAUCAAGCCUCAGCAAUGAUUUUGUAGAGAGCAACUGCACCAGGGGUUCUCCCAAAGCAAGCACUGUAAUGACCACCACCGAGUCUCAGACGAUAAGCAGUAGUACAGUGACGCAGAACAACACCGUUUCCACCCUAACUACCACAACUAAGACUACUGUGACGCAGGAAACAAAAACCACCACGACACCUUCAUCAACAGAAACCUCGUCCUUGGGAGUCUCCAAGUCAGUAACACGAGUAAAGUCCACAAAAGAACGGGUUCAGCUCAUUCACUUUUCUCGCACCAAAAAAGUGCGAUCUGAAGCAGCACUUCCGUUGUACCGCAAGUUUUCCACCAAGAGUUGCAAGAAGAGCAUCUUCGUUCUUCCCAGUGAAGAGCUCAAGAAGAUGGCCCGCAAGGGUGGCUUUAGGGAGGUGUCAGUUUUCAACUACAAUGCCAAACCAGCCCAAGACAUCUGGCCGUACCCGUCUCCCAGACCCACAUUCAGCCUCACCUGGAGGUAUCGUCUCCAGACUGUGAACUCGUUAGCAGGAGUGAGUCUGAUGUUGCGGCUUCUUUGGGCAUGCCUUCGAUGGGACGACAUGGCUGUAAAACCGUCAUCUAAUGCUGGCGCGACACGCACAGAAACAUCUGAGACUGAGAUCACCACCACAGAGAUCAUCAAGCGCAGAGACGUUGGUCCUUAUGGUAUCCGGUCAGAAUACUGCAUACGGAAGAUCAUCUGUCCUCUAGGGGUCCCUGAAAUGCCUAGAGCUGAGACAUGCACGCCACAAAGGAAAGGCCUGCGCUCCAGUGCACUGCGGCCCAAACGCCCCGAGCCUGGCAAGCAGGAUGGCCCAAUAAUUAUUGAAACAUGGGUGCCUGAAGAAGAUCUCCACUUGUGGGAAAUCCGAGCAUUUGCAGAGCGAGCGGAAAGGGAGAAAGCCCAUGCAGCAGAGCAGGUCAGGGUUAGUGCUCGGAGGAAAGCGCUGGAACUUCAGCAACAGAAACGUCAGGAACAAAAGCAGCAAGCCGCCGCAGCCUCCACUCCCUCAGCCAGCCCUGCCACCCGCAAUACUCCCAAAGCGACCACAAGUUCCCUAAGCAGCCAGCUCACGCCUGGAGCCAAAGUGGUGCUGGCCACCAAGAUGGGCACGCCAGUCACAUUCCAGCAAAAUAAAAACUUCCAGCAAACCUUUGCAACCUGGGUCCAAGGUCAAGUGUCCAGCAGCACUGUUACCACUGUCUCCACGACGUCGGGGCAAACCUUCCAGAUCUCAGGCAGUCCCGUGUCAGUAACUGGCAAAGUCAUCCCACUUCCUGCCAACAGCAAGAUCGUCACGUUCAGUGUGCCCAACAUGCAAGGAGGUGUUCAGCAGAAGGUUGUUGGCAUCAUUCCAUCCGGUACCACGGGCAACCAGCAAACCAUCACCACCACACUGCAACCCAACACAUCUACAGUCAACAUCACAGCCAAGACACAGGGCACAGCUACACAACAGGUGACUACCACUGGAGGACAGCUAAAGCCCGGGAUGACUGUAUUACGGACGCCAACACAGCAAGGAGCCGCUGUGGGGAAAACUAUCCUCCGAACCCCGAUAGUUGUGCAACAAGGUCAGGCGGUGACUCAGAUCAUCCGGGGACAGCCUAGCAGCCCUGCCUCUACUCCCAGAGUUACCCAGGGUCCAGUUAAACUAACCCUCGCUCAGCUUACCCAGCUCAGUCAGGGGACACAGAAGCAGCAGGGAGCAGCAGUGGAAAGCCAGCAGGGGGUAACGGUGAUGGUGCAGGGUCAGGGUCAGACAACAGGUCAGCUGCAGGUCAUCCCCGCUGCCUUGACUGUGAUCCCUGCAGCUGGACAACAGCUUAUGCAGGCCGUCUUACCUAACGGCCAGGUGCAGCGUUUCCUGUUCACACCCACUCCUGCGUCAUCUUCCACACCGGGUCAAACUGCCACCAAGACCUGCACUCCCUCUCCUGCACAGCCAGUGCAGGCCGGAGCUUUUGCCCCCCGCACCCCACCAAUGACCCAUAAAGCCCAAAUGCCAAUCCAGUCUCCCACCCCUAUACAGGCCAAAACUACAAUUAACCAGAUGGCUGUGAAACAGCAGCAGGUGAGGCCCCAGGUGCAACUCCAGCAGGGGGCACAGAUCGUUACAGUGCCAGGGUUACAGCUCCAGCCGGACCAGACGGUUAAACUCCACUUGCCCGUACAGAUCCAGCAGCAGGCUGGGGCAGUAUGCCAGGAUGGGGUAAAGUCCCAGCAGGUCCAGAACGUAGUGACGUUACAGACGGCCAGCGUCCAAGGAUGCGUCCAGCAACUCCAGAGGAUCCAGCAGCUCCAUCAGCAGCAGCAGCAGAAGAAGAAACAGCAGCAGGAGGCAAAGAGGGAGCAGCAGCAGCAGGCCAUCAGCCAGAGCGACCUUAUCCAAAAACAGGUGGUGAUGAAGCAGAACGCAGCAAUUGAGCAGCUGAAACAGAAGAAGCCCAUGACGCCUGCAGAACGAGAGGAGAACCAGAGGAUGAUCGUGUGUAACCAGGUGAUGAAGUUCAUCCUGGACAAAAUCGACAAGGACGAGCGGCAGGCAGCGCGGAAGCGGAAACGAGAAGAGACGAUUGAGCAAAAACGCAGCAAGCAGAUGGCUGUCAAGCUCUCAGCCUUGCUCUUUAAACACAAAGAGCAGCUCAAAGCUGAGAUCCUGAAGAAGAGAGCGCUGCUGGACAGACAGCUGCAACUGGAGGUGCAGGAUGAGUUGAGGCGAGAUUUGGAGAAAAUCUGUCAAGAAAGAGAACGAGCCAAAGCUGCUGCCGCCGCUCCUGCUCAGGUCACAAGCACAACGUCGCCAUCAGCUUACAAGCGCAAAUAUGAGGAGGGUAACGUGGACAAAUUAAAGAAGAAAAAGAUGAUCACAACUACCUCAAGAGAAACCAACAACGACACAAAUCUGUACUGCAUCUGCAAGACGCCGUACGACGAGACCAAGUUUUAUAUAGGCUGUGAUUUGUGCACAAACUGGUACCACGGUGACUGCGUGGGCAUCACGGAAAAGGAGGCGAAGAAGAUGGACGACUACAUAUGCGCAGAGUGUAAACAGGCACAGGAGGGAACCACAGAGGAGCUCUACUGCAUCUGUAGAACUCCGUAUGAUGAAGCUCAGUUUUACAUUGGCUGCGACCGCUGUCAGAACUGGUACCACGGCCGCUGUGUGGGGAUCCUACAGAGCGAAGCGACAUACAUCGACGAGUACAUCUGCCCUCAGUGCCAGUCGACGGAGGACGCAAUGACCGUCCUCACACCCCUUACAGAGAAAGACUACGAAGGAUUACGAAGGAUCCUCCGCUCACUACAGGCCCAUAAAAUGGCGUGGCCCUUCCUGGAGCCGGUGGACCCCGAAGAUGCCCCUGAUUAUUAUGGAGUAAUAAAGGAGCCUAUGGACCUGGCGACAAUGGAGGAGCGCCUGCUGAAGCGUCACUACAGUAAGCUGACGGAGUACGUAGCAGACAUGACCAGAAUCUUCGAUAACUGUCGAUACUACAACCCCAGCGAAUCGCCCUUCUAUCAGUGUGCAGAGGUGCUCGAGACAUUCUUCGUCCAGAAGCUUAAAGCCUUUAAAGCAAGCAGAUUAUGAUGACAGGUCUUCAGAGCAGGCUGCCUGGCUCAGUGUAAAUUAGCCUAUCGUGGAGCACCACUGUGUUUUUCUUUAGCACGAAGAAAAAUACAGCAUGAACUUUUUUUGUACAGAAGAACAAAACUUUUGUUCGGAAGAUGGACUUUAAGCAGAAGCUAUGUUUGCAUCUCAGUCAGGGGAAAAGCUACUUUUUCUAUUGUGAUAUCUCAACAUUGAAAAUAAUUAUUCACCUCAUCAAGUUAGUUGACCAUUUCAUGUCACUGGAAAAAGAAAUACUUUUUUGGUCUGUUUUAUUUACUUACUUCAUGUAGGAUCUUUGCUGAAUUUUGUUUCUUUUUUUAUCUCAUAAAAGAGGUGAGGAAACAAACUUACCUCAUACAACUGUAAUAUCACUGGCUUUAUAUGGAUAUUUUGGAAAUGUUACAUUAAUAAUUGUGUUAGUCUUUUAUCUCAGUUUGUAGUCAUAUAUAUGAUAUUUUUAUGCAUCUAAAUCCUUUUGUGAAGGAGCAAUACAGAACUGUAGACUGGUUCAGCUGGAGUGGAUGUCACAGAUGAACACCAUCCUCAUGUCUCAUAACAACAGACUUCAAUCUACAGCUUCCUAAGCUACACGUCCCAUAAGCUCUUUUGUAACACUGUAAUCAGGAAGUUGGUUCUUGCUAGGUGAGCUCCUGCUACAUGGCAUUUGGGAACCAAGGACAUGAUGCACUGGAGAUCCUGCUUUUACAGAAAGCGAGAGAUCAGUGACUGAAGUGUUUUUUAGAAUAAAAUGAAAACAUAUGAUGGAGGAAGAACACCGUUUGAGAAGCAGAUGUAAAGGAUGAAGGGGUUUCCCAGCAAAGGAUGAACUGUCAUCAUCUGGAGCCGUACCAAAUUACUCACACUUUUUUUUUUUUUUUUUUUCAAUGAGAUAAAUCGGAACAUAAGCCAUUGUGCUGCGUUCCAUUGUACUCCACAGUUUUAAUUCUGGUAAAAAUGUGUGGUAAAUGCAUUCCAGUUUUUCUUCUCGAGAAGUAUUAAGAGGGUUGUGAGUCCAGAAACUCAAAAAAGCUUAAUAUUUUUGUAUAUAUUUUUAAUAAAAAAAUUAAAAAAAACUAAG